GACGUAGGGCGCGAGCGUUGUCCGGAAUUAUUGGGCGUAAAGAGCUCGUAGGCGGCUUGUCGCGUCGACUGUGAAAACCCGCGGCUCAACCGCGGGCCUGCAGCCGAUACGGGCAGGCUAGAGUUCGGUAGGGGAGACUGGAAUUCCUGGUGUAGCGGUGAAAUGCGCAGAUAUCAGGAAGAACACCCGUGGCGAAAGCGGCUCUCUGGACUAAUACUGACGCUGAGGUGCGAAAGCGUGGGGAGCAAACAGG
rnacentral:rRNA from 1 species